CCUACGGGGGGCUGCAGUGAGGAAUUUUGCGCAAUGGCCGCAAGGCUGACGCAGCAACGCCGCGUGGGUGAUGAAGGCCUUCGGGUCGUAAAGCCCUGUCAGGUGGGAAGAAAGGUUUCAAGGGGAAAGACUUGGGAUUUGACGGUACCACCCGAGGAAGCACCGGCUAACUCCGUGCCAGCAGCCGCGGUAAUACGGAGGGUGCGAGCGUUAUUCGGAAUUACUGGGCGGGAGGCGCGUGUAGGCUGGGAAAGCCCUGGGCUUAACCUGGGAAGUGCAUUGGAAACUGUGUGUCUUGAGUACUGGAGAGGAAGGGGGAAUGCCCGGUGUAGAGGUGAAAUUCGUAGAGAUCGGGAGGAAUACCAGUGGCGUAGGCGCCCUUCUGGACGGUAACUGACGCUGAGACGCGAAAGCGUGGGGAGCAAACAGGAUUAGAUACCCGAGUAGUC
rnacentral:rRNA from 1 species